rnacentral:tRNA from 1 species
ACCGUAGCUCAGUUGGUUAGAGCGUGGGACUCAUAAGCCCAAGGUCACUGGUUCGAUCCCAGUCGG